UACGAAGGGGGCUAGCGUUGCUCGGAAUCACUGGGCGUAAAGGGUGCGUAGGCGGGUCUUUAAGUCAGGGGUGAAAUCCUGGAGCUCAACUCCAGAACUGCCUUUGAUACUGAGGAUCUUGAGUACGGGAGAGGUGAGUGGAACUGCGAGUGUAGAGGUGAGAUUCGUAGAUAUUCGCAAGAACACCAGUGGCGAAGGCGGCUCACUGGCCCGUAACUGACGCUGAGGCGCGAAAGCUAGGGGAGCAAACGGG
rnacentral:rRNA from 1 species